UACGAAGGGGGCUAGCGUUGUUCGGAAUCACUGGGCGUAAAGGGCGCGUAGGCGGCCGAUCAAGUCGGGGGUGAAAGCCUGUGGCUCAACCACAGAAUUGCCUUCGAUACUGUUUGGCUUGAGACCGGAAGAGGUUAGUGGAACUGCGAGUGUAGAGGUGAAAUUCGUAGAUAUUCGCAAGAACACCAGUGGCGAAGGCGGGUCUCUGGGCCGAUACUGACGCUGAGGAGCGAAAGCAUGGGGAGCGAACAGG
rnacentral:rRNA from 1 species